UCCGUAGGUGGAUAAUUAAGUCAGAGGUGAAAGUUUGCAGCUCAACUGUAAAAUUGCCUUUGAUACUGGUUAUCUUGAGUUAUUGUGAAGUAGUUAGAAUAUGUAGUGUAGCGGUGAAAUGCAUAGAUAUUACAUAGAAUACCGAUUGCGAAGGCAGAUUACUAAUAAUGUACUGACACUGAUGGACGAAAGCGUGGGGAGCGAACAGGAUUAGAUACCCUGGUAGUCC
rnacentral:rRNA from 1 species